AUGCUCCCAAACCAGCUACUGGGGAUGACCAGAGUGAGUGAGGUGUGUGUGGGGCUCCACACCAGGGGCUGGAGCAGGGCCUUGAGUUACAGCCUGUGUGUGUCUGGUGCCAGCUGCUGGUUGGGGGCAAGUGUCUGUAUCUUUUCAAACCUGGUGUGUGUGUAUUUCCUAACACAUUUUAAGCUGGACCAGGUGAACUGGAGAAUGCCAAGCCCGAUGUUUCCUGGAAGGAUUCCUUCAGUUACAGGCCUCAUGAAGCAACUAUUGUCCAUCCCUCAUGAUUCCUUCAGGAGCACUAUCCUGCCCAGAAAUAUUUUAGUUCUUGGGCACGCACCUGAGUGGAGAAAGCAGAUUUCUCUGUGUACAAAAUGUGAAGUGAAGCUGAAAAAUGAGAAUCAACCGAUGCAAGUUGCGGCACAAUAUGUGGUUUUAAUUAAUUAAUUUAUUUAUAAAGUCUGAGAAGAGUUAAAUACUGGAACAGGAGCUCAGAGAAGAUGAGGAGUCUUUAUUUUUGGAGAUACUCAAAACCUGCCUGUUCAAGGCCCUGAGCUGUUAGAACUGAUUUGAGCAUUGGUUAAAUUAGAGACCUCGGAGGUUUCUUCCAUUUUGCUUAGUUCUGCAAUUCAGAGACUGCUUGGAGACAUAGUUGUCCCCCGCCCCCAGCCAAUGUAUUUAGGUAAACAGUCAUUAUGUUAUUUUUGUUUAUGCAUCUUUAAAUAAUGUGAAGACUUAUGCUGCCAAAUUGCAACACAUCAGUGAGCAAUUCCUCAUCAGGAGUAGAAAGCAUGAUUAAGAAGUGCUUACAUUGACAAGAAAGAAGUAGUCAACAUCUUCAGACUGUCAUACUCUGUCAUUGAAGAUUGGGACUGAUAAUCCCCAUUAGCACCUCUGUGUAUGAGGAGGAAAUAUGUAUUCCUAAUGACAGUGGUAAAACUGUUUCCAUAAAAGCUAAACAGACAAAACUAUGAAGUACCAAAAAUCACUUUCUGAUAAAGCCAGUGAAGCCAUUAAAUCACUUUGGAGUCAAAACAGAAAUGCAAAAUCAGAAAGUGGAGCAGUUAAAAUAUUUUAUCAGUUCACAACAAAGGCUGAUGUUGAAACAUUUACCACAGAGUUACUUCCUCCUGUUAACAAAGGUGAGAUAUCUUCAGAAAACAAGAUGUCAAAGGGAGAAAUUAGAAAAAGCUGACAGAUGAAGUCUCAGUAAGUCAUCAAGAGGUCUUCAGGAAUUUAAGAGGGAACUAUAGCAUAUAGUAGUUCUCACCUUUACUACAUGAGAUGCUAUACUGGAGGGAACAUUUCCUUACUAUGCUAGGAGGAAGAAAGUGUUUUACUUCUGUUUGGUUAUGUGGCAGGUGCAGAUUUAUGUACCACUGAGAGUUUUCUUUCAUGGUCAGUAAAUUAAUCACUAUCAAAGGGUAAGAUGUCUGUGGUAUGACCAGGUCAUAGCCUGUGUUUCGAUAAACAAUUCUAUUAAAUAAAGGGAAAUUCUAGGUACA
rnacentral:lncRNA from 1 species